rnacentral:rRNA from 1 species
CCCUUAGAGUUUGAUCCUGGCUCAGGAUGAACGCUGGCGGCGUGCUUAACACAUGCAAGUCGAACGAAGCACUUUAUUUGAUUUCCUUCGGGACUGAUUAUUUUGUGANUGAGUGGCGGACGGGUGAGUAACGCGUGGGUAACCUGCCUUGUACAGGGGGAUAACAGUUGGAAACGGCUGCUAAUACCGCAUAAGCGCACAGCAUCGCAUGAUGCAGUGUGAAAAACUCCGGUGGUAUAAGAUGGACCCGCGUUGGAUUAGCUAGUUGGUGAGGUAACGGCCCACCAAGGCGACGAUCCAUAGCCGACCUGAGAGGGUGACCGGCCACAUUGGGACUGAGACACGGCCCAAACUCCUACGGGAGGCAGCAGUGGGGAAUAUUGCACAAUGGGCGAAAGCCUGAUGCAGCGACGCCGCGUGAGCGAAGAAGUAUUUCGGUAUGUAAAGCUCUAUCAGCAGGGAAGAUAAUAGACGGUACCUGACUAAGAAGCACCGGCUUGAUA